GAUGAACGCUGGCGGCGUGCCUAAUACAUGCAAGUCGAGCGAACAGACGAGGAGCUUGCUCCUCUGACGUUAGCGGCGGACGGGUGAGUAACACGUGGAUAACCUACCUAUAAGACUGGGAUAACUUCGGGAAACCGGAGCUAAUACCGGAUAAUAUAUUGAACCGCAUGGUUCAAUAGUGAAAGACGGUUUUGCUGUCACUUAUAGAUGGAUCCGCGCCGCAUUAGCUAGUUGGUAAGGUAACGGCUUACCAAGGCAACGAUGCGUAGCCGACCUGCGAGGGUGAUCGGCCACACUGGAGCUGAGACACGGUCCAGACUCCUACGGGAGGCAGCAGUAGGGAAUCUUCCGCAAUGGGCGAAAGCCUGACGGAGCAACGCCGCGUGAGUGAUGAAGGUCUUCGGAUCGUAAAACUCUGUUAUUAGGGAAGAACAAAUGUGUAAGUAACUAUGCACGUCUUGACGGUACCUAAUCAGAAAGCCAGGGCUAACUACGUG
rnacentral:rRNA from 1 species